UACAGAGGGUGCAAGCGUUAAUCGGAACUAUUGGGCGUAAAGCGCAUGUAGGUGGUUGCAUAAGUUUGAUGUGAAAGCCCUGGGCUUAACCUGGGAAUGGCGUUGAAUACUGUGCAACUUGAGUCGGACAGAGGGCGGUGGAAUUUCCGGUGUAGCAGUGAAAUGCGUAGAGAUCGGAAAGAACAUCGGUGGCGAAGGCGGCCGCCUGGGUCCAGACUGACACUGAGGUGCGAAAGCGUGGGGAGCAAACAGG
rnacentral:rRNA from 1 species